UGGCAUACGAACAUUUUCGUUUUGCUUUUCACGAUUAAUUUUAAGCUCCAAUAGUCAAACCGUAUAGAAUUCACAAAAAUUGAUCGUUUCCAUAAGCAUCACACAUACAAGCACGCAUACAUACGCAAAAGACACUUUGCUCGUUCACUCGCGACAAGAUGCUCAGUGAAAAACAGGAACAAAAGAGAAGUGAAGAAAUCGGUCUUUGCUUGAGCGAAGAGCGAGUUGAGCAAAAACAGAUUUGAUCGGGUCCAUUCAGUCCCUUUUCUCAAUGUGUCCGUCAAUGAGAGGUUUUUAUCAGACACGCCAAAAGUGUCAACCGUUAUUUGCGAGGUCUAUGUGCGAGGGUGCAUUAAUGAGAUAAAUAAACCAGUCGAACCGUGUGGAGUAGCGGCAACACUUGUAAACCUAUGAUUUUUGUGCAUAUAUAUGUAUAUAUACAUAUAAAUACAUAUAUAUUUUUUUAAUUGUACGUAAACGCCGUCUAUUACACCUAAUGCGAGAGAGAGAUCGAGCGCAAGGCAGGAGAGUCAGUUGGUACCAACAAAGGUACCGGGCGCAAAAACGCUAGCCCACGGAUGCUGACUGGUCUUUCGCUUUUAUGUGCAAAUGUAAAUCUAUUUACAAUAUGUGUGAAAAGACAAGGCUAUUAAGCUUUACUUGUUCAUUGAAUGCUUGACCGACUGAAGAACAUGCCUAUUAUACGAGUAUCUCUCCGGGAAAAUUGAUUUUUCCGCAAAUAAAUUCAUUAUAUUAAUUAAAUAUUAAUUAGCUGUUAAGGAAAAUGUCGCAAAAAUUGCAAAUGUUUUUGCAGCACCUGCGCUUGGUUGGCUGCGGCACACGGGAAAAAUCAGUUACUAAUCCCCACACACGCACAAUUACUAACACACACAAACGAACAAGCACACACCGAUCAUCAGCUGCGGCUCUUGUUUACCGCAACAACAAACAGUACCGUUAGGAUUAGUCGUUGAAAACCUGACGUCGAGGGGGGGAGAAAUAGCGUAGCCUUAUUCGGUAACACUAAAAUGAAGUUAUAUGUACGUGUAGGAGUGUGUGUAACGUAACGCCGCCAAGCUGUCUACAGUACCAUACAAAGCGCACGAUGUCAUUGUAGCCGAGGAUACCGUUGACUUCCCUACAACUACAACAUAGGGUAGUGGUAGGGCUUAACUAUUAUAAAAUGGGCCGCCGCGACACAUGGCCACACUAUCAAAUCGAUCUUUCGUUCAUAAAAUACUACACAACUACAACCCAUUCACACACACACACACACACACACACACACACCUAGGCGCACCGUUUCCAUUGGAUACACAUACAAAUGCACGCGCACGCACUGCAAUGCCUUUUCGAAAAGAAAUAAAUGAAAUUCUUCAAGUUCACACACACAAACACACAUCCAUACGCACAUUACGUUGUAAACUUUUUUGCCAAUCGUUUACCACGUUUCAUUUAUUCACCAAUUUGCGGCUUCUGCUUCUUUUCGAUUAAAUAUACGUUUUCAAUGCUUUACCAAACGUCAAAAAUCGAAAUAUUUAUAAUCAACAACAACAAAAUAUAAAACGAAACGAAAUAAAUCUAUUUAUAAAAGCGCUUAAAAGCACAUACACACACACACGCAUGAAAUUAUUGUGUGUUGGGGCUGUCGGUUUGACAGUGAAAUGAGUAGAGCGAACGGGUAAUGGGGAGCGGGGAAUAAGGGACGGCAGUAGUAAAAACGCCGAUGAGCGUAUACGAGCGAAAAGGAUAGCACUAUUGGCGACACCGACACACACACAACCGAGCGGGAGCUCUCGCGCAACACACAAACGUUCACUCACAUAGGCAAACAGGCAAUGUACGAAUUACGCAAAGUCAAAUAUCUUUCUCAAAAUGGAAAGUGGAAAAGUGACGAUUGCUAUUGUGAAUUUUUCUACCGUCUGAUCACAAAACCAGAGCGCGGACACGACUAAAAUUGGAGCGGGAGCCAAAUAAAAUUACAACGCAAAGCAGAUAUCACGAGCAAACAAGGUCGCGAGGGUAAAAAAAAAACAAUAUGAAA